rnacentral:rRNA from 1 species
UACGGGGGGAGCAAGCGUUGUUCGGAUUUACUGGGCGUAAAGGGCGCGUAGGCGGCCACCGCAAGUCGACUGUGAAAUCUCCGGGCUUAACCCGGAAAGGUCAGCCGAUACUGCGGGGCUAGAGUGCAGAAGGGGCAACUGGAAUUCUCGGUGUAGCGGUGAAAUGCGUAGAUAUCGAGAGGAACACCUGCGGCGAAGGCGGGUUGCUGGGCCAACACUGACGCUCAGGCACGAAAGCGUGGGGAGCAAACAGG